rnacentral:tRNA from 1 species
UUUACUUUGACAGAUUUAUGUAAUAAAUUUAGAAUUUAUUUAAGUAAUAAAUAAAUAUUACAAGUAAAU